rnacentral:rRNA from 1 species
UACGGAGGGGGCAAGCGUUAUUCGGAAUUACUGGGCGUAAAGCGUGCGUAGGUGGUUCGUUAAGUCCGUUGUGAAAGCCCCGAGCUCAACUUGGGAAUUGCAGUGGAUACUGGCGAGCUGGAGUGCGGUAGAGGAAAGUGGAAUUCCCGGUGUAGCGGUGAAAUGCGUAGAGAUCGGGAGGAACACCAGUGGCGAAGGCGGCCUUCUGGACCAGAACUGACACUCAAGCACGAAAGCGUGGGGAGCAAACAGG